ACGAAGGGGGCUAGCGUUGUUCGGAAUUACUGGGCGUAAAGGGCGCGUAGGCGGUUUGAUAAGUUGGGUGUGAAAGCCCAGGGCUUAACCCUGGAACUGCACUCAAGACUAUCUCACUUGAAUUCGGUAGAGGUUGGUGGAAUUCCCAGUGUAGAGGUGAAAUUCGUAGAUAUUGGGAAGAAUAUCCGUGGCGAAGGCGGCCAACUGGACCGACAUUGACGCUGAGGCGCGAAAGCGUGGGGAGCAAACAG
rnacentral:rRNA from 1 species